rnacentral:rRNA from 1 species
AUGCUUAGAUGGAUCCUUGCCUCAUAUUCAUGUUUUAUUUGGCUUUGCAAUACUCAAUACGCUUGUUUUCUUGGUUUUAUUUCACAACGAUUUCACAAGCCUUCAGUAAAAAAAAAUGAUUUCACAAGCCAUGACUCCAAUCCUAUGUUUUUCCAUCCAUUCCCUUUUAGAAUCUGCGCUCCAAAGAAGGCCCGUACUACUGUUUUUAUGCCUCAUGUGAUAACUAAAGAAAACAGGGUUUCCUAUGGUUUAUCACUGUUAGUAUACACAUUUGUUUUUGCUAACAUGGUUAUAACACAAUUACCUGCCUACCCAGAAAGGGAUUGCAGUGUUGGCUUAGAUUUCUUAGUGAUAUUUGGGAGUGAAAUCAUCUUUAUCUCUACUCUUAUAAAGAUCUGA